rnacentral:rRNA from 1 species
UACGAAGGGGGCUAGCGUUGCUCGGAAUUACUGGGCGUAAAGGGCGCGUAGGCGGCCUUCUAAGUCGAACGUGAAAUCCCCGGGCUCAACCCGGGAACUGCGUCCGAUACUGGAAGGCUUGAAUCCGGGAGAGGGAUGUGGAAUUCCAGGUGUAGCGGUGAAAUGCGUAGAUAUCUGGAGGAACACCGGUGGCGAAGGCGACAUCCUGGACCGGUGUUGACGCUGAGGCGCGAAAGCCAGGGGAGCAAACGGG